GAUGAACGCUAGCUACAGGCUUAACACAUGCAAGUCGCGGGGCAGCAUGGGGGUUGCUUGCAAUCCCCGAUGGCGACCGGCGCACGGGUGAGUAACGCGUAUCCAACCUGCCCUUCACCACGGGAUAACCCGGCGAAAGUCGGACUAAUACCGUAUGUUGUCCAUUGACGGCAUCCGAUUUGGACGAAAGGUUUGGCGGUGAAGGAUGGGGAUGCGUCCGAUUAGCUGGACGGCGGGGUGACGGCCCACCGGGGCGACGAUCGGUAGGGGUUCUGAGAGGAAGGUCCCCCACACUGGAACUGAGACACGGUCCAGACUCCUACGGGAGGCAGCAGUGAGGAAUAGUGGUCAAUGGGCGUAAGCCUGAACCAGCCAAGUAGCGUGCAGGAUGACGGCCCUAUGGGUUGUAAACUGCUUUUAUGCGGGGAUAAAGUGGCCCACGUGUGGGUUUUUGCAGGUACCGCAUGAAUAAGGACCGGCUAAUUCCGUG
rnacentral:rRNA from 1 species